rnacentral:rRNA from 1 species
GACGAACGCUGGCGGCGUGCUUAACACAUGCAAGUCGAACGAGUGGCGAACGGGUGAGUAACGCAUCGGAACGUACCGAGUAAUGGGGGAUAACUGUCCGAAAGGCCAGCUAAUACCGCAUAUUAUUCGAGCUGCCGAUGUCGGAUUAGCUGGUUGGCGGGGUAAAGGCCCACCAAGGCGACGAUCAGUAGCGGGUCUGAGAGGAUGAUCGGCCACACUGGGACUGAGACACGGCCCAGACUCCUACGGGAGGCAGCAGUGGGGAAUUUUGGACAAUGGGCGCAAGCCGGAUCCAGCCAUGCCGCGUGUAUGAAGAAGGCCUUCGGGUUGUAAAGGACUUUUGUCAGGGAAGCGGUACCUGAAGAAUAAGCACCGGCUAACUACGUGCCAGCAGCCGCGGUAAUUC